rnacentral:lncRNA from 1 species
AUAGUUCUAAGUUUUGUACGAACAUUCUCAAUUAUCGACGAAAACAAAUUACCCAAUUAAAAGUUGAAAGGCUCCGAAAAAAUAAUUAAAAAAAUAAACAAGAAAAAAAUCAAAUUUCUCUAUUUUUUCGUAUUACCCAUACAUCUCGUCGACCCACCGCAAAACAUCGCCGCCUCUUCCUCGGCCGACUGGGAAGAUUGAGGUCGCAGCCCUAGAGGAUGAAGGAGCCGUGGUGCUGUCGUGGUGGAUGACGAGGAGGCAGACAGAGGCGGUCCAUCAGAGCGGUGAAGAUGGGGGAGGCGGUGGAGUGGGAGGUCUUACGCUCGGUGAAGGAACCGAGAUUUGGGAAAAAAAUCAAUAACGUGGAGAAGAGAGGGACGGCCGCG